rnacentral:rRNA from 1 species
UACGGGGGGGGGCAAGCGUUGUUCGGAAUUACUGGGCGUAAAGGGCUCGUAGGCGGCCAACUAAGUCGGAUGUGAAAUCCCCAGGCUUAACCUGGGAACUGCAUCCGAUACUGGAUGGCUUGAAUCCGGGAGAGGGAUGCGGAAUUCCAGGUGUAGCGGUGAAAUGCGUAGAUAUCUGGAGGAACACCGGUGGCGAAGGCGGCAUCCUGGACCGGCAUUGACGCUGAGGAGCGAAAGCCAGGGGAGCAAACAGG